rnacentral:misc_RNA from 1 species
GUGAAUCAUCAAAUCUUUGAACGCAAAUUGCACUUUCUGGUAUGCCGGAAAGUAUGCCUGGGUGAGGGUCAGUUAAAUAAAAAUCGUUGUUUUUGCUGCCUUUCGUGGUGACGCGUCGAAAUUGGGUCGUCUUACCUUCGGAUAGGUGACUUAAAAUUUUUUCAUGAUAUUCGAACGGAUUUCAAUCUCUUACGUACGUUUGAGAUAUCGAAUGCUUAUUAUGUUCGUUCAUUCCCAUAAUUCGCGCCGAUAAUUGUUCAUUAAAUGACCUCAAAUCAGGUGA